AGUGAAGCGGCAGCAGCUCAAAUUUGAAAUCUGGCCCCUGGGUCCGAGUUGUAAUUUGUAGAGGAUGCUUUUGGUGCGGUGCCUUCCGAGUUCCCUGGAACGGGACGCCAUAGAGGGUGAGAGCCCCGUCUGGUUGGACGCCAAUCCUCUGUAAAGCUCCUUCGACGAGUCGAGUAGUUUGGGAAUGCUGCUCUAAAUGGGAGGUAUAUGUCUUCUAAAGCUAAAUACCGGCCAGAGACCGAUAGCGCACAAGUAGAGUGAUCGAAAGAUGAAAAGCACUUUGAAAAGAGGGUUAAACAGUACGUGAAAUUGUUGAAAGGGAAGCGCUUGUGACCAGACUUGAGCCCGGACAAUCACCCAGCCUUCUGGCUGGUGCACUUGGCCGGCUCAGGCCAGCAUCAGUUUGGCGCGGGGGACAAAGGCCCUGGGAAUGUGGCUCCUCCGGGAGUGUUAUAGCCCAAGGCGCAAUGCCCUGCGCUGGACUGAGGUUCGCGCGUCUGCAAGGAUGCUGGCGUAAUGGUCAUCAGCGACCCGUCUUGAAACACGGACCAAGGAGUCGUCUUCGUAUGCGAGUGUUCGGGUGUCAAACCCCUACGCGUAAUGAAAGUGAACGCAGGUGAGAGCUUCGGCGCAUCAUCGACCGAUCCUGAUGUUCUCGGAUGGAUUUGAGUAAGAGCAUACGGAGCCGGACCCGAAAGAAGGUGAACUAUGCCUGUAUAGGGUGAAGCCAGAGGAAACUCUGGUGGAGGCUCGCAGCGGUUCUGACGUGCAAAUCGAUCGUCAAAUAU
rnacentral:rRNA from 1 species